GGAAACCAACAGCAGUUCCCUGUGAGCUCAGAAGCAGGGAACAGUGCAGUAAGGGAAUACUUCAGAGGCUAAAAAGGCCCUUAGCAUAUUGUGCUUUGUGAACACUUUAAUGGAUAAAUGCAGAACAAUACAGAGAGAAUCUGCUAUGGGAGAUAGGGGGUCUUAAGGAUAGUAAAGUAUUUCUUCCUAGCUCUCUGCUGAGCGUAAGGAUUACAGAAUUAAUCAGUGCCUGCCAGCCUACGAAGCCUCCUCCCCUCUGUUCCCUCAUCUCCUACACCAGUUUUCACCUUAAAUGCAAUUUCUAUUGUAUCCUCUUUCAUGAAAGCUCCUUGGAUCACUUCAGAGACCAUG
rnacentral:lncRNA from 1 species